UGGGGGAUUUUGCACAAUGGGCGCAAGCCUGAUGCAGCGACGCCGCGUGAGGGAUGAAGGCCUUCGGGUUGUAAACCUCUUUCGCUGGGUUGAAAGGCCAUGCUUUGGGUGUGGUUGAUUUGAACUGGUAAAGAAGUACCGGCUAACUACGUGCCAGCAGCCGCGGUAAUACGUAGGGUACUAGCGUUGUCCGGAUUUAUUGGGCGUAAAGGGCUUGUAGGUGGUUUGUCGCGUCUGUCGUGAAAUCCUAUGGCUUAACCAUGGGCUUGCGGUGGGUACGGGCAGGCUUGAGUGCGGUAGGGGAGACUGGAAUUCCUGGUGUAGCGGUGGAAUGCGCAGAUAUCAGGAGGAACACCGGUGGCGAAGGCGGGUCUCUGGGCCGUUACUGACACUGAGGAGCGAAAGCGUGGGGAGCGAACAGG
rnacentral:rRNA from 1 species